UCUUAUCAAGAGCGGUGGAGGGACUGGCCCUUUGAAACCCAGCAACCAGUAUAUGGUGUAGUAUCAUUAGCUACAUUGGUAUACCGUGGUGCUAAAUCCUGCAGUUAUUUAACUGAGAGAUAAGA
rnacentral:ncRNA from 1 species